ACCCCUCACAGUAUAUAUGGGGUGUAUAUGUGAAAAUAAACAGAAAAAACAUAUAUAGAGUAGUAUUGUCUGAUGCGUUUGAAAAUAUAUCAAAUAAGUGAGAAGAAUAAAACUCACAUUUGAGAGAGCCUUUUAUGAGGAUAUAGGCUCUAAACACAACAGCUUCUUUGCCUUUAAAGGUAGGCAAUAGAACCUUAAAAACAGGAGCGUUCUUCU